UAAAUGAUGUUUACUGUGAUCUUACGCUCCUUUUCUUACUAACAUUUCAAUGUUGCAAUUAUGUUUUGAAAAAGACUUAUGAGCCCAUUUUAAACAGGUCACUUUCACAGUUCUUCAUCAUUAGGACAGUUAUGACAUGAACACUGGUCAGGUGUGGAAGCUUUUUGCCAGAUUGCUGUCUAAGUGUAGAUUCAGACUGCAGGAGACGGUGUGAGAGAGCAGCUGCUUACAUAUGGAGACCUGAGCCCAAAUUCGCAAGCACUCUAAAUGUUUAUUUGGAGUGUGCGCUUGGAUUUAUCUCGGGACAUUUGCUUGAAAUGAAACUCAUUUAUAUAAGACAAAUUCAUGAGACAGAAAUGGAGAGGAAUGGAAACUAUAUGAGAAUGAAAAUAUGCCAGUGUUCAGCACUUGUGAAACAUUAAAAACCAAGUUUGAAUGAUGGCCGGGUGGCUUCCAUGGAGGAAUGGCCUCUGUUGGAGCUGUUAUCUGUGGCAUUAUUCUGGCGAGCAAUGGGCUGGAGCCUGGAAGGGACAGCUGAGUCAUUUGGCAGAGACCGGCGAGCCAGUUGGUCAGGGAAGUUAUGAGGACAACACUAGAUUUGUGACCCACCUUACAGCUCCGUCUCCCCCCAGGAAGCACAGCCAGCGGUCCAGGAAUGAAUUUCAUGGCAAAAAUCAUUACCAGCUAAUAACCUCCACCUAAUGUAUAGCACUCUAUGUUGUUUUAUAGCUAAAAUAAAUCACAAUAAAUGACAGUGUUUUCUUGUUGAUUUGUAACUAUAUGAAGCAAAAAACAAUGUUUUGUGGUUUGAGGGGGAACUAAAACAUGUUUUUGUA